rnacentral:rRNA from 1 species
CCCUAUUAUUUUAGAAUGUUAAUUUUUUGUACCUGAGUAGUAUUAGUUAUGUUCUUGAAACUUAAAGAAUUUGGCGGUAUCUCAUUCCGUCUAGAGGAAUCUGUCCCGUUAUCGAUAGUCCACGUUGGACCUUACUUAUUUGAUUUUGGUUUGUAUACCGCCGUUUAUUGAUUAUCUUUUUAGAGAUUUGUUAAUUUUCUGGUUUCUUUAUUUUGAUAUAUUUCAGGUCAAGGUGCAGCUUGUUUUUAAGUGGAAUGAUGGAUUACAUUGUUAUUUGUUUAUGGAUUGUCGGUUUUAAUAUUGGCAUGAAAUUGGAUUUAGUUGUAAUGAUUUGUAGAUUGUUAUUAUGAUAAUUGGUUCUGAGAUAUGCACACAUCGCCCGUCGCUCUCGUUUUAUUUUAUAAUGAGAUAAGUC